AGCUUUUUUAUUAGUGUAGCUCACCCUGUGGUAACCUGAGUAGAUGGUACGUUCCACUUAGGUGAGGCUGAGAGGGUAAAAGGCCAAUCACUGGUCAACUGAGUGGAGUAAGGAAGAGAAUAGUCCAGCCUGCUGACCUGCUUCUUUAACAUCUUUAACCCUGUGUCUAGACAGCACACAUAGAACGAGCAGCAUGUCAGCAGAGCAGCAGCGAGUGCUCCGUCAGAAACAUCACACCUGCCUGUCAUCAAGCCAUCACCACUUCCCUACAGGAACACUGCACUGAGAGCUAUUCCUCGCCGGAUCAUUGUGCCACUCACAGUUUAUUGGAUUACCUGCCUUCUUGCCCGCCUGACUUGCCCACUAAGCCCACCAAUCAGCUCACAUCCUUAGGAUUCCCUCUGUCAAGCCUCCUCUCGGAAUCCUCCCCCUCACCUCAGCCCAAACACCAGCUAGCCACCAUCUCACCAACCCUGCCUGUCUCAGCAAUAAAAGACUCAAUUCACCAUACCUCCUUGUCUACUAUCUGCAUGUGUGUGACAAUGCUUCAAAAAAACUUUAAGAUGACCUCAUUAAUACCGCUGAGACAAUACCAAGAUUUAGUUGCUAAUUUUAUUGAUUGUAAUUGCUAUUGCUUUUAAUCUUUUUUGUUAUUUUUAUUUAUUUGUCUCAUUGUCAAUUCCUGCACUUUUACCUUUAACAUUGUUAAUUUUACCUUUUAUUUAAUUGAUAUAUUGAUGUAUUCUUCUGUUAUUGCUACCAUCUAGUUUUCUUUGGUGAUUUUAGUUGUUGUUGUAUCUGCUGUCAUUGUAUGUCUGUAUGUCGGGACCAUUGCAAAAGAGAGUUCUCCCUCAAUGUAUUUUCCGAGGAUUCAAAUAAAUAAAAUGAAAAUUAAAG